rnacentral:rRNA from 1 species
UGGGGAAUAUUGGACAAUGGGCGCAAGCCUGAUCCAGCCAUGCCGCGUGAGUGAUGAAGGCCUUAGGGUUGUAAAGCUCUUUUGUCCGGGAAGAUAAUGACUGUACCGGAAGAAUAAGCCCCGGCUAACUUCGUGCCAGCAGCCGCGGUAAUACGAAGGGGGCUAGCGUUGCUCGGAAUCACUGGGCGUAAAGGGCGCGUAGGCGGACUCUUAAGUCGGGGGUGAAAGCCCAGGGCUCAACCCUGGAAUUGCCUUCGAUACUGAGAGUCUUGAGUUCGGAAGAGGUUGGUGGAACUGCGAGUGUAGAAGUGAAAUUCGUAGAUAUUCGCAAGAACACCAGUGGCGAAGGCGGCCAACUGGUCCGAUACUGACGCUGAGGCGCGAAAGCGUGGGGAGCAAACAGG